rnacentral:tRNA from 1 species
GCCUGGCUGGCUCAGUGGGAAGAGCAUGUGACUCUUGAUCUUGGGGUCAUGAGUUCAAGCCCCACGUUGGGUG